CGCGUGGGAACGUGCCCUUUGGUACGGAACAACUGAGGGAAACUUCAGCUAAUACCGUAUGUGCCCUUCGGGGGAAAGAUUUAUCGCCAUUGGAGCGGCCCGCGUUGGAUUAGGUAGUUGGUGAGGUAAAGGCUCACCAAGCCUACGAUCCAUAGCUGGUCUGAGAGGAUGAUCAGCCACACUGGGACUGAGACACGGCCCAGACUCCUACGGGAGGCAGCAGUGGGGAAUCUUAGACAAUGGGCGCAAGCCUGAUCUAGCCAUGCCGCGUGAGUGACGAAGGCCCUAGGGUCGUAAAGC
rnacentral:rRNA from 1 species